GAUGAACGCUGGCGGCGUGCCUAAUACAUGCAAGUCGAGCGAACGGACGAGAAGCUUGCUUUUCUGAUGUUAGCGGCGGACGGGUGAGUAACACGUGGAUAACCUACCUAUAAGACUGGGAUAACUUCGGGAAACCGGAGCUAAUACCGGAUAAUAUUUUGAACCGCAUGGUUCAAAGGUGAAAGACGGUCUUGCUGUCACUUAUAGAUGGAUCCGCGCUGCAUUAGCUAGUUGGUAAGGUAACGGCUUACCAAGGCAACGAUGCAUAGCCGACCUGAGAGGGUGAGCGGCCACACUGGAACUGAGACACGGUCCAGACUCCUAGGGGAGGCAGCAGGAGGGAAUCUUCCGCAAGGGGCGAAAGCCUGACGGAGCAACGCCGCGUGAGUGAUGAAGGUCGUCGGAUCGUAAAACUCUGUUAUUAGGGAAGAACAUAUGUGUAAGUAACUGUGCACAUCUUGACGGGACCUAAUCAGAAAGCCACGGCUAACUACGUG
rnacentral:rRNA from 1 species